AUUGAACGCUGGCGGAAUGCUUUACACAUGCAAGUCGAACGGCAGCACGGGGGCAACCCUGGUGGCGAGUGGCGAACGGGUGAGUAAUACAUCGGAACGUGCCCGGUCGUGGGGGAUAACGUAGCGAAAGUUACGCUAAUACCGCAUACGAUCUGAGGAUGAAAGCGGGGGACCUUCGGGCCUCGCGCGAUCGGAGCGGCCGAUGUCAGAUUAGGUAGUUGGUGGGGUAAAGGCCUACCAAGCCGACGAUCUGUAGCUGGUCUGAGAGGACGACCAGCCACACUGGGACUGAGACACGGCCCAGACUCCUACGGGAGGCAGCAGUGGGGAAUUUUGGACAAUGGGCGCAAGCCUGAUCCAGCCAUUCCGCGUGCAGGACGAAGGCCUUCGGGUUGUAAACUGCUUUUGUAUGGAACGAAAAGGCUCUGGCUAAGACCUGGGCUCAUGACGGUACCGUAAGAAUAAGCACCGGCUAACUACGUG
rnacentral:rRNA from 1 species